UAGCACCUGAAAAAUAGAUUGGUCAUUGGCAAUUGAAAUGGUGAUAAUACGUGUUAAUCUAAGGUGGAAGAAAUGCAGUUUAGGGGAUGAAAGAAUUCUAUAAAAUUGUACUUGACAAGAGUAAUGAAUAAAUGCAACAUACACGACAAUAUGGUGAAAAAUAUCUGGUUAGUGGAUGGAAAAAUAAUAGUUACCAGCAGCUAAACCGAUGUAAGGAUCGGUGACCAGAGAUUUGAGAGACGGUGGUUCCGCUUCGGUGUACACGACAGACGGUUGAAGCACCAGAAGUUGCAAAACUGGGAAUGGUAUUAUACAAAGUGCAAUCGAUAAAUGUAAGAUAGAAUGGAAGUAAAUGGCGCGUAAGAAAAAGAUGAACAUGGAGAAAUACUCACUUCCGUCGCCAAGGGCCAAUGCCGAAAGUACCAAGAACGGAGCAGAUUUUCCGACAUAUUCGUACAUCGCGCCGCCAAAUGGAGGUCCGA